AUUGAACGCUGGCGGCAUGCUUUACACAUGCAAGUCGAACGGUAACAGGGAGCUUGCUCCGCUGACGAGUGGCGAACGGGUGAGUAAUGCGUCGGAACGUGCCGAGUAGUGGGGGAUGACGCAGCGAAAGUUGUGCUAAUACCGCAUACGUACUGAGGUAGAAAGUGGGGGACCUUCGGGCCUCACGCUAUUCGAGCGGCCGACGUCUGAUUAGCUAGUAGGUGAGGUAAGAGCUCACCUAGGCGACGAUCAGUAGCGGGUCUGAGAGGAUGAUCCGCCCCACUGGGACUGAGGCACGGCCCAGACUCCUACGGGAGGCAGCAGUGGGGAAUUUUGGACAAUGGGCGCAAGCCUGAUCCAGCCAUACCGCGUGUCUGAAGAAGGCCUUCGGGUUGUAAAGGACUUUUGUCAGGGAGGAAAUCCUAGUGGCUAAUAACUGCUGGGGAUGACAGUACCUGAAGAAUAAGCACCGGCUAACUACGUGCCAGCCGCCGCCGUAAGAC
rnacentral:rRNA from 1 species